rnacentral:tRNA from 2 species
GCGGAUUUAGCUCAGUUGGUAGAGCGUCAGCUUCCCAAGCUGAAGGUCGCGGGUUCGAGACCCGUAAUCCGCUCCA